rnacentral:rRNA from 1 species
AGAGUUUGAUCCUGGCUCAGGAUGAACGCUGGCGGCGUGCCUAAUACAUGCAAGUCGAGCGGUAAGGCUUUCACAGAUUAUUUGAACAAAGUAAGUUCGUCAGCUGACGAAUACUAUUUUGAAACGGUUUCAUCCGGCUAGAUGAAACUGGUCGAAUAAUGCGUGAAAGUACACGAGCGGCGGACGGCUGAGUAACGCGUAGGAACGUACCCCAAAGUGAGGAAUAAGCACCGGAAACGGUGUCUAAUGCCGCAUGUGAUCUACGGAUUAAAGGAUUUAUCCGCUCUGGGAGCGGCCUGCGUAAGAUUAGCUAGUUGGUGAGGUAAUGGCUCACCAAGGCGACGAUCUUUAGCUGGUCUGAGAGGAUGAUCAGCCAGACUGGGACUGAGACACGGCCCAGACUCCUACGGGAGGCAGCAGUAGGGAAUUUUCCACAAUGGACGAAAGUCUGAUGGAGCAACGCCGCGUGCAGGAUGAAUGCCUUCGGGUUGUAAACUGCUUUUA